rnacentral:rRNA from 1 species
AACGAACGCUGGCGGCAGGCUUAACACAUGCAAGUCGAGCGCCCCGCAAGGGGAGCGGCAGACGGGUGAGUAACGCGUGGGAAUCUACCCAUCACUACGGAACAACUCCGGGAAACUGGAGCUAAUACCGUAUACGUCCUUCGGGAGAAAGAUUUAUCGGUGAUGGAUGAGCCCGCGUUGGAUUAGCUAGUUGGUGGGGUAAUGGCCUACCAAGGCGACGAUCCAUAGCUGGUCUGAGAGGAUGAUCAGCCACACUGGGACUGAGACACGGCCCAGACUCCUACGGGAGGCAGCAGUGGGGAAUAUUGGACAAUGGGCGAAAGCCUGAUCCAGCCAUGCCGCGUGAGUGAUGAAGGCCCUAGGGUUGUAAAGCUCUUUCAACGGUGAAGAUAAUGACGGUAACCGUAGAAGAAGCCCCGGCUAACUUCGUGCCAGCAGCCGCCGUAAUAC